rnacentral:lncRNA from 10 species
AGAAUUUCCAACAUAGUGACCCCCAUGUGGCUAAAAUGGCAGGGAGGGGUGCUAACAUUUAUUGAACAUUUUCUUGCAUGAAUCUCUCUCUCUGAGGGUAUUCAGUUAGGUCUCAAUUCUGCAAGGUUGCUAUUACAUUAUGACCACUUUGCAGAUGAGGAAACUGAGGCCAGGGAAGUUCAUACAGCCAGUCAAUGGCAGCACUGGGGUUGAGGCCAGCUGGUCUGACUCUGCAUCUUGGUCGCACGAUGUCUUUUAUCUCAUUUUCUGUGUGAGAACCUCCCAGGACAGCACCACAGGCUGAUCUGAGAUUUAAGAGCAGAUCUAAAGUCACGCCUACCUUCGGAUGAUACUGAAAAGCCAGAGUCCUGGCCAAAAAGCUGGUCAGGAGGGCUGUGAGGGGCCAGGUGCACAGUGGGGCUCUGACAUGCCUCC